UGCAUGUCUAAGUAUAAGCAAUUAUACCGUGAAACUGCCAAUGGCUCAUUAAAUCAGUUAUCGUUUAUUUGAUAAUACCUUACUACUUGGAUAACCGUGGUAAUUCUAGAGCUAAUACAUGCUGAAAAUCCCGACUUCGGAAGGGAUGUGUUUAUUAUAUAAAAAACCCAUGCCCUUCGGGGCUCUUUGGUGAUUCAUGAUAACUUUACGGAUCGCAUAGCCUUGCGCUGGCGACGGUUCAUUCAAAUUUCUGCCCUAUCAACUUUCUAUGGUGAGGUAUUGGCUUACCAUGGUUUCAACGGGUAACGGGGAAU
rnacentral:rRNA from 1 species